rnacentral:sRNA from 1 species
AGCGAAGAUGGCGGCAGUGGAGAAGCGGCGGCAAGCGGUACCACCGCCGGCCGGUUUCACGGACAGCGGCCGCCAGUCGGUAUCCCGGGCGGCGGGGGCGGCCGAGAGCGAGGAGGACUUCCUGCGGCAGGUCGGCGUGACGGAAAUGCUACGUGCGGCCCUGCUGAAGGUGCUGGAGGCGCGGCCCGAGGAGCCGAUCGCCUUCCUGGCUCACUACUUCGAGAACAUGGGCCUGCGCUCGCCUGUAAACGGCGGCGCCGGGGAGCCCCCGGGCCAGCUCCUGCUGCAGCAGCAGCGCCUGGGCCGCGCGCUGUGGCACCUUCGCCUGGCCCACCACUCCCAGAGGUGCGCAGCGGGCCGGCUUGGGCGGGUGGGGCAGCGAUGGACUUCAACUCCCAGCAUGCCGCGCGCGGCUCCCUACCCGCAGCGCCGGCGCGGGGGCCCGGGGCUUGCUGGGAGUUGUAGUCCGCGAUGCCUUCUUGGGUGGGAUGGAUCGGACAAGGUGGGCUGGAGGGUCCGGGCUUCGGUCCGGCGCUAGGCAGCGCGCUGCAUGCGGCGCGAGUCCUUCUGGCCGGCUUCGCCUUCUGUGACGCCUUUUUGCAGGUGCUGAGUUUCCCCUUGCAGUUCAUGAUUUUCAAAAUCUUGCAGCUCAAGAGGACUUGGCCCGAGGUCGCAGAGCCAGCCCCCAAGCCAGGUCCUCCUAGUCGCCUCGUUAGCAGCCUCAUGGCAUCCCCGUCCAUUCAGCCAGAACGUGAAUAUUUACAGAGAGCAGCGCAGUCACCCAGGGCCCCCACCUUAGGGGACAGGCUCCCAGCGGGCAGGUGGGGAUUCCUGGAAGAGCCUGGCGAUGUGCGGGCGGGUUGCAGGGAAGAGGCCCAGCAGGUGCAAAUUUAGACCCUGAGUGUGGGGCACACGGGAGGCGGGAAAGCCACGGAAUUUGGCUGAAGCAUGCGAGGCUGCAGGUGCCUACGCGUGGUGUCCCCUGGCUGGGGCCAGUUCUGAGCCCAGGGAAGGUGGUUGGGGACUAUGCGUUGACGUUGGGGAUGGAUGGGCUGCUGUCUUUUGUGGGGGGCGGUCCCCAGAAGCGGAGCCUGAGGUAGGCAUUGUGUGUGCAGGUGAUUUUAUAAGGGGGUGCGCCCAAGAGAACCCAGGAAGGGGGUGGGAAGAGCAGGCAGGGAAGGAUGUCAAGCAAAGGUGCCCUUUCAGCCUCAUAACCAGGGCAUAAGCGCCCACCAUGGCAGCCCUCGCCAGAGUCCCAGAGAAGUUCGGGGGGAGAAGAGAGAUGGGGAGUGUCCCCCCCACCACGGUCAGGGUGCACAGGUGUCCAAGAUCAUACUCAGAUAAGGGUGGCAGGGUGUUGGGUACCUGGACAAGGAGCAGACUUGCUCCGGUGGCCCACUGGCUCUGAAGGCCCCGCCCGAUGAUUUGCUGGAGCCAGGUGGGAGGGGAGCGGGCAAGAGCAGGCCCAGAGGGUCGGUGGAGCCGUUUACUGCGAUGGAAGGCCCCUGGUUUGAAGAAGCUGCCAGAGCCACUUGCGGAUUAAGUUGGAGGCUGGGAGGAGCCUGGAGACAGGAAGGUAGAAAGAAGCGUCUGCAACUGAGACACGGGGCCAGGACAGAAGACUGAACUGGAGGGGUCCUGAAGGCUUCAGGAGAGAUGAGAAGAGCUCAGGACCACACUCUGAGGGCACCUAGCCCACAGAGCCCACCAGAAAGGGUGAGAACAUGAGACCAGAGGUGAAGGGGGAGCAGGAGGAAGAUGGCCUCCCAGGACACCUGGAAGAGAAUCUCCCAAGGAGGAAAAGGGGUCGACAGCAGGCCCACCACGUAUGGUUGUUCAGGUUGAGCACUGCACAAGCCACUCACCCCAUAGACACUGCAGAUGAGGAUAUUUAUAUUUAUAUUAAUUUCCGAGGGCUGCUGGAACAAAUUACCUCCAACUUAGUGGCUUAAAACAACAGAAAUUUAUUCUCUCACAGUUCUGGAGGGCAGAAGUCUGAAAUCGGGGUGUCAGGAGGACCACACUCCCUCUGGAGGCUCCAGGGAAGGAGCCUUCCUUGCCUCCCCAGCUUCCGGUGGCGGCCAGCAGUCUUUGGCUUGUGGCCACAUCGCUGCAGUCUCUGCCUCCGUCCUCACGUGGCCUCCUGUGUGUCUCUGUCCUGUGUUCCCUCAUAAGGACACCACUAGGCCCCACCCUACUUCAGUGUGACCUCAACCAUCUACAUCUGCAAAGCUGCUGUCUCAAAUAAGCUCUCAGUCUGAGGUUCUGGAUGGGCGUGAGUUUGGUGGGCACCAGUCACCCCAGGACAGGAGUGGAGCCGUUGGCUGGAAGAGUUCUCAUAGCAGGGACUCAGGGCAAGGGUGGCGCUGGUGGCAGAUGCAUCCCGGCCCUGGGCUCGCCUGGGCUCCCCAGAGACACAGCCAGUGGGGAAUGCAGAAGACAGGUGCAUAGACCUGCGUGGCAUCUGAUUCUGUGCUCAUGGAGCCAGGCCUGCUCCCGUCCUCCCAGCAGGCAGCUCCAGCCCCUCCAUCCUUGGACCGUCAGGAACCCCUGAGGUCACCUGGCCAGUCAGGAAGAGAAACCCAGAGCAGCCGGGCGCGGUGGCUCACGCCUGUCAUCCCAGCACUUUGGGAGGCCGAGGCGGGCGGAUCACAAGGUCAGGAGAUCGAGACCAUCCUGGCUAACACAGUGAAACCCCGUCUCUACUAAAAAUACAAAAAAUUAGCCGGGUGUGGUGGCAGGUGCCUGUAGUCCCAGCUACUCAGGAGGCUGAGGCAGGAGAAUGGCGUGAACCCAGGAGGCGGAGCUUGCAUUGAGCCGAGAUCGCCCCACUGCACUCCAGCCUGGGCGACAGAGCGAGACUCUGUCUC